rnacentral:rRNA from 1 species
GUUAUCGUUUAUUUGAUAGUACCUUACUACUUGGAUAACCGUGGUAAUUCUAGAGCUAAUACAUGCUAAAAACCCCGACUUCGGAAGGGGUGUAUUUAUUAGAUAAAAAACCAAUGCCCUUCGGGGCUCCUUGGUGAUUCAUAAUAACUUAACGAAUCGCAUGGCCUUGUGCCGGCGAUGGUUCAUUCAAAUUUCUGCCCUAUCAACUUUCGAUGGUAGGAUAGUGGCCUACCAUGGUUUCAACGGGUAACGGGGAAUUAGGGUUCUAUUCCGGAGAGGGAGCCUGAGAAACGGCUACCACAUCCAAGGAAGGCAGCAGGCGCGCAAAUUACCCAAUCCCGACACGGGGAGGUAGUGACAAUAAAUACUGAUACAGGGCUCUUUUGGGUCUUGUAAUUGGAAUGAGUACAAUUUAAAUCCCUUAACGAGGAACAAUUGGAGGGCAAGUCUGGUGCCAGCAGCCGCGGUAAUUCCAGCUCCAAUAGCGUAUAUUAAAGUUGUUGCAGUUAAAAAGCUCGUAGUUGAACCUUGGGCCUGGCUGGCCGGUCCGCCUCACCGCGUGCACUGGUCCGGCCGGGCCUUUCCUUCUGGGGAGCCGCAUGCCCUUCACUGGGUGUGUCGGGGAACCAGGACUUUUACUUUGAAAAAAUUAGAGUGUUCAAAGCAGGCCUAUGCUCGAAUACAUUAGCAUGGAAUAAUGAAAUAGGACGUGUGGUUCUAUUUUGUUGGUUUCUAGGACCGCCGUAAUGAUUAAUAGGGAUAGUCGGGGGCAUCAGUAUUCAAUUGUCAGAGGUGAAAUUCUUGGAUUUAUUGAAGACUAACUACUGCGAAAGCAUUUGCCAAGGAUGUUUCAUUAAAUCAGUGAACGAAAGUUAGGGGAUCGAAGACGAUCAGAUACCGU